rnacentral:rRNA from 1 species
ACAGAGGGGGCAAGCGUUAUUCGGAAUUAUUGGGCGUAAAGGGCGCGUAGGCGGUUUGUUAAGUCAGAUGUGUAAUCCCCGAGCUCAACUUGGGAACUGCAUCUGAGACUGGGAGACUAGAGUACUGGAGAGGGUGGUAGAAUUCCACGUGUAGCGGUGAAAUGCGUAGAGAUGUGGAGGAAUACCAGUGGCGAAGGCGGCCACCUGGACAGUAACUGACGCUGAGGCGCGAAAGUGUGGGUAGCAAACAG